GAUGAACGCUGGCGGCGUGCCUAAUACAUGCAAGUCGAGCGAACGGACGAGAAGCUUGCUUCUCUGAUGUUAGCGGCGGACGGGUGAGUAACACGUGGAUAACCUACCUAUAAGACUGGGAUAACUUCGGGAAACCGUAGCUAAUACCGGAUAAUAUUUUGAACCGCAUGGUUCAAAAGUGAAAGACGGUCUUGCUGUCACUUAUAGAUGGAUCCACGCUGCAUUAGCUAGUUGGUAAGGUAACGGCUUACCAAGGCAACGAUGCAUAGCCGACCUGAGAGGGUGAUCGGCCACACUGGAACUGAGACACGGUCCAGACUCCUACGGGAGGCAGCAGUAGGGAAUCUUCCGCAAUGGGCGAAAGCCUGACGGAGCAACGCCGCGUGAGUGAUGAAGGUCUUCGGAUCGUAAAACUCUGUUAUUAGGGAAGAACAUAUGUGUAAGUAACUGUGCACAUCUUGACGUUACCUAAUCAGAAAGCCACGGCUAACUACGUG
rnacentral:rRNA from 1 species